rnacentral:rRNA from 1 species
GUGCCAGCCGCCGCGGUAAUACGUAUGUCGCAAGCGUUAUCCGGAUUUAUUGGGCGUAAAGCGCGUCUAGGCGGCCAGAUAAGUCUGAUGUGAAAAUGCGGGGCUCAACUCCGUAUUGCGUUGGAAACUGUAUGGCUAGAGUACUGGAGAGGUAAGCGGAACUACAAGUGUAGAGGUGAAAUUCGUAGAUAUUUGUAGGAAUGCCGAUGGGGAAGCCAGCUUACUGGACAGAUACUGACGCUAAAGCGCGAAAGCGUGGGUAGCAAACAGGAUUAGAUACCCUGGUAGUCCACGCCGUAAACGAUGAUUACUAGGUGUUGGGGGUCGAACCUCAGCGCCCAAGCUAACGCGAUAAGUAAUCCGCCUGGGGAGUACGUACGCAAGUAUGAA